AGGAUGAACGCUGGCGGUCUGCUUAACACAUGCAAGUCGAACGGGCGUAGCAAUACGUUAGUGGCGGACGGGUGAGUAACGCGUGAGAAUCUACCUUCAGGACGGAGACAACAGUUGGAAACGACUGCUAACCCCCGAUGUACUGAAAAGGCAAAUAUUUAUAGCCUGAAGAAGAGCUCGCGUCCGAUUAGCUAGUUGGAGAGGUAAAAGCUCACCAAGGCGACGAUCGGUAGCUGGUCUGAGAGGACGAUCAGCCACACUGGGACUGAGACACGGCCCAGACUCCUACGGGAGGCAGCAGUGGGAAUUUUCCGCAUGGGCGAAAGCCUGACGGAGCAAGACCGCGUGGAGGAAGAAGGCUCUUGGGUUGUAAACCCCUUUUCUCUGGGAAGAAAGUUGUGAAAGCAGCCUGACGGUACCAGAGGAAUCAGCAUCGGCUAACUCCGUGCCAGCAGCCGC
rnacentral:rRNA from 1 species